rnacentral:misc_RNA from 1 species
GCUGCGAUCUUCAGCGAUUCGCAGCAGUUCGUCGGGAAGACAGGCAAAAUGGCGGACGGCGUGGAUAUUGAUCUCUACGCCGACGAUCUCGAGCAAGACUUUAACCAGGAGGGAUACAAUGAGCACGAUGCCAACGUGGAUCUUUACGACGACGUUAUUGCUGCACCGUCCAGCGAUGGAAAUGCAGACGAGGUGUCUGGGAUUGGUAACCAGUCCCAGGGAAACAGCCAUCCUUCAAAGCGUGUGGCUCUGUACAUUGGAAACUUGACUUGGUGGACUACGGACCAAGACGUCACCGAUGCCAUAAGUGCUGUUGGGGUCAACGAUGUGUUAGACAUCAAGUUUUUUGAGAACAGAGCCAAUGGCCAGUCGAAGGGAUUCUGCAUUGUGACUUUGGGAUCGGAUAGUGCAGUCCGUGCUGUCAUGGAAAAGUUGCCCAAGAAGGAACUUCAUGGUCAGAACCCAGUGGUAACCACGUGCAGUCGUCAGCACCUGAACCACUUUGAGAUGCAAAGUCGCAAGCCCAGCCAGGCUUCGUCACAGUCACGGGAGUAUGAUGAGUUUUACCGUGGCGAGCGCCGCAUGGAUCGCUUCGUGGGGAAGUACGAUCGGAAUUCAGUUGGCUUUGAUGGCAAGGGACGAGGCGAACGUGAUCCAUACCACUUGGGGGGUGGCGGUAACGACAGGGGUCCCCCUUCGGCUCGGCUGGGGCCCCGGGGCCCUUCACCCCAGGGCCGCUCAGAGCGGAGCCGCCCCUUUCCAAACCAGGGACGCAUGCCCCCUGUGGGACCACCACUGAUUGGGCAGGCCCCACCGCCUCCUCAGUACACUCCAGGUGGGCCCUCACACAACUACCCACCUCCACCAAUGAGGCUGGGAGGACCUCCGCCACCGCAAGUGCACCCCCCAGGGCCGCCACCUCCUCUGCGGCCACCGCCCCCACAGAGUGGUCCCCCACCACCAUUGCCAGCCAACCUGCAGGGCCCCCCGCCACCCACUGGGGCAGUGCCCCCACGAACAGGACCACCGCCACCAAGCCUCUUACGCAUGCCCCCUCCAAGAGGGCCUCCGCCGCCGCUAGGAGCACCCAGGGGUCCACCGUUGAUACCAGAUCACAGGGGCCCACCACCUGUGACCAACGACUGGGAGAGGCAACAAGGUGGAAUGCAUUCUCUGCCCCCAGUGUCGCAGCCUCCACCCCACCCUGGUGGAGUGCCCCCCGGCCCUGCCCCACCGGGUAUGCCUCCCAAUCGGCUGCCACCGCCUGUGCCCCCAGUGGUGCCGGCUCCAAACGUGCCGCCGCCAGCGCCCCAUGUGAACCCGGCGUUUUUCCCUCAACAUGCGGGACUGCCGCCACCACCAACCACGUCUCAGCCUUCAGACCCGUACGGCAGGCCACCCCCUACGCAGUACACACAUGACUACCGUGGACCCACCAAUGACAGCCACCCUUAUUCAGUAGAUCCGAGGAGUAUGUUGCCUGCAUCAUCAUCUAUGCCCUCAAGGCACACUAGAGAGCAGCAUGACAGACGUGACAUGAAGAAGCAAGUCUUUUCGGCCAACAAGCAAGACCCGCUGAAUCCUCCCAUCAAUGAGUCCGAGUUUGAAGAGAUCAUGUCCAGGAACAGGACAGUGUCAAGCAGUGCCAUUGCCCGUGCUGUGGCAGACGCCAGCACAGGUGAAUUUGCCAGUGCCAUUGAGACUCUGGUGACUGCCAUUUCGCUCAUCAAGCAGUCAAAGGUGGCCAACGAUGACCGCUGCAAGAUUCUGAUAAGCUCUCUGCAGGACACCCUGCAUGGCAUCGAAUCAAAAUCCUACAGCACCAGGAGUAAGGACCGUCCGCGCUCCAGGGAGAGGGACCGGUCACGAGAGCGAUCGUCACGCCGAGAGAAGUCGAGUAGGCGUGACCGGUCGCGCAGCCGUGAGCGGGACUACAGAGACCGGAGCCGCGAAAGAGACCGCUACCAUGAGGACCGCUACCGAGACAAGGAGAGGGAGCACCGCAGUCGCCACUAAGUGGCCCUCUUCACCACCGCAUGGGUGACAACCUACCUGCAGCAUCGCCAUGUGUGCAGCUGGUCUAUUUUUCUAUUCCU